rnacentral:rRNA from 1 species
UUGGUGAGGUAAUGGCUCACCAAGGCGACGACGGGUAGCCGGCCUGAGAGGGCGACCGGCCACACUGGGACUGAGACACGGCCCAGACUCCUACGGGAGGUAGCAGUGGGGAAUAUUGCACAAUGGGCGAAAGCCUGAUGCAGCGACGCCGCGUGAGGGAUGACGGCCUUCGGGUUGUAAACCUCUUUCAGCAGGGAAGAAGCGAAAGUGACGGUACCUGCAGAAGAAGCGCCGGCUAACUACGUGCCAGCAGCCGCGGUAAUACGUAGGGCGCAAGCGUUGUCCGGAAUUAUUGGGCGUAAAGAGCUCGUAGGCGGCUUGUCACGUCGGGUGUGAAAGCCCGGGGCUUAACCCCGGGUCUGCAUUCGAUACGGGCUAGCUAGAGUGUGGUAGGGGAGAUCGGAAUUCCUGGUGUAGCGGUGAAAUGCGCAGAUAUCAGGAGGAACACCGGUGGCGAAGGCGGAUCUCUGGGCCAUUACUGACGCUGAGGAGCGAAAGCGUGGGGAGCGAACAGGAUUAGAUACCCUGGUAGUCCACGCCGUAACGGUGGGAACUAGGUGUUGGCGACAUUCCACGUCGUCGGUGCCGCAGCUAACGCAUUAAGUUCCCCGCCUGGGGAGUACGG